UACGUAGGGGGCAAGCGUUGUCCGGAAUCAUUGGGCGUAAAGCGCGUGUAGGCGGCCCGGUAAGUCCGCUGUGAAAGUCCAGGGCUCAACCCUGGAAUGCCGGUGGAUACUGUCGGGCUCGAGUCCGGAAGAGGCGAGUGGAAUUCCUGGUGUAGCGGUGAAAUGCGUAGAUAUCAGGAGGAACACCUGUGGCGAAAGCGGCUCACUGGACCAACAACUGACGCUGAGGCGCGAAAGCUAGGGGAGCAAACAGG
rnacentral:rRNA from 1 species